AGUCGUUUUCAUAUCGUGUCAGAAACUGCCGGGUCUACCUAUGGAUUUGUAGGCCUCCUUAAAAGUCUUUUAAAUCCUAAUUUACUACCUAUGCAUUUGGGGAAUGGCUACAAUACUACAUUUAUUUAAUACAAUCACUCUUUAACGAUCAUAUAUAAUUCAUGUGAAUAUAUGGUACAAUUACCAUUUGACCGUCGAGAUGGUAAUUGUAUUAAACACAUGUAAUUAUUGAGUCAGGUCCCUUUAUUUGGAUGGACUUUUUUAAAGUCUUUUAAAAUCUUAGUUGACUACACCAAGAAUCUAGAGUCUUUUAAAAUUGGGUAAAUUUCACAUUAUCCCCUCAGGUUUGGGGUCUAUUACAAUCGCAUACAAUAUCUUCAAAACAUUUCACUUUCAUACCUCAACUACUAUUUUAUUUCAAUACAGUACCUCCAUUACAGUUUCCAUCUAUUGAUCUGUUAAAAGCUGACGUGGCUGCCACAGUUGUGCCACGUGGCUACCAAAUGUGUGCCACGUGACAAAAAAUAAUAAUUUUUUAUUUGUUUAAAAUAUUAUAAUAAUUUACCCUUAAAAAAAAAAAAAACCCAAAUUGAAACCCACAUCCGCUCAACCCCCACCCCUGCAAACAAACC
rnacentral:lncRNA from 1 species